CAGCAGCCGCGGGAAUACGUAGGUGGCAAGCGUUGUCCGGAAUUAUUGGGCGUAAAGGGCUCGCAGGCGGUUUCUUAAGUCUGAUGUGAAAGCCCCCGGCUCAACCGGGGAGGGUCAUUGGAAACUGGGAACCUUGAGUGCAGAAGAGGAGAGUGGAAUUCCACGUGUAGCGGUGAAAUGCGUAGAGAUGUGGAGGAACACCAGUGGCGAAGGCGACUCUCUGGUCUGUAACUGACGCUGAGGAGCGAAAGCGUGGGGAGCGAACAGGAUUAGAUACCCCUGUAGUCCCUGUCUCUUAUAC
rnacentral:rRNA from 1 species